UAUUCUGCCCCACGGGGAAGGAUGAGAAGCUUCGACUAAGGUUCGACUCGAGCGAAGCGAGAGAACGUUGCCGCAGGCAACGGCCCGAAGGGCGAGGCGCUUUAGCGCCGAGUAAUCCUUCCCCCACCA
rnacentral:sRNA from 1 species